GUUGGCGGCGUGGAUUAGGCAUGCAAGUCGAACGAAUCCCUUGGGGCUUGCUCUAAGGGGGAAGUGGCGAAAGGGGCAGUAAGGCGUGGGUAACCUACCCCGGGGACGGGCAUAGCCGUCCUAACGGACGGGUAAUUCCUGGCGAUCUGACGAGGGGGCAUCCUCUUGUCAGGAAACGAGUUUCGCCUCGGGAGGGGCUCACGUAGUAUUAGCUGGUUGGUGGGGUAACGGCCUACCAAGGCGAAGAUGCUUAGCGGGUGUGAGAGCACGACCCGCGCCACUGGCACUGAGACACUGGCCAGACUCCUACGGGAGGCUGCAGUCGAGGAUCUUCGGCAAUGGGCGCAAGCCUGACCGAGCGACGCCGCGUGUGCGAUGAAGGCCUUCGGGUUGUAAAGCACUGUCGAGGGGGAUAAAGCCGCAAGGUCGAUCGACCCCUGGAGGAAGCACGGGCUAAGUUCGUGCCA
rnacentral:rRNA from 1 species